GCUGGCGGCGCGCUUAACACAUGCAAGUCGCACGAGAAAGCAGGAGCAAUCCUGUGAGUAAAGUGGCGUACGGGUGAGUAACACGUGGAUCAUCUACCUUCUAGUGGGGAAUACCUCUGGGAAACCGGAGAUAAUUCCGCAUAAGCUCGAGAGAGGAAAGCCGAAAGGCGCUGGAAGAGGAGUCCGCGGCUGAUUAUGCUAGUUGGUGAGGUAACGGCCCACCAAGGCGAAGAUCGGUAGCCGGCCUGAGAGGGCACACGGCCACACUGGCACUGAAACACGGGCCAGACUCCUACGGGAGGCAGCAGUGGGGAAUCUUGCACAAUGGAGGCAACUCUGAUGCAGCGACGCCGCGUGAGCGAUGAAGCCCUUCGGGGUGUAAAGCUCUUUCGACGGGAAAGAUUAUGACGGUACCCGGAGAAGAAGCUGCGGCUAACUACGUGCCAGCAGCCGCGGUAAUACGUACGCAGCGAGCGUUGUUCGGAAUUACUGGGCGUAAAGAGUGUGUAGGCGGUGUUCCAAGUCUGGUGUGAAAUCUCCCGGCUCAACUGGGAGGGUGCGCCGGAAACUGGAAUGCUAUGAGGGUGG
rnacentral:rRNA from 1 species